UCCUGUGUGGUGUAGUGGUUUGCGUGUAGGACUGAGACUCUGGAAACCAAGGUUCGAAUCCUACUCAGCCA